GAUUACACAGAACAGUUCCCCAACGCGUGAGAGAACGACGACCCAAACCCAGAAUUCGAUCGCGCGUGACACGUCUUCUUCCCUUUCUCAGUCUGGUUGUGCGAUUUUCAGAGGAAGGCAGCGUACUUGUGCAGAGAGCAAGGCGAGGUGGCAAAAUCUCAGCGUCUCUCUCGUCCUAGAGUCGAUAUCGGAUGACUCUCCUUUCAAUUCCGUUGGGAAUUAGUACUAUGGACAACUUUCUACCUGUUCCUCUGAAGAGAUUUUGAAUUUCAAAUCUUGAAUUGGACCCCAUCCUCACCCGUUUUUCCACCUAAAUCAGCCCUAAUUUCCAUCUAUUUAAACCGACUCUGAUCUUCAUUAGGGGUGGGGGGGUGGGGGGGCUGGAAAGAGGAAGCAAGAAAAAAAAUGAAAAAGAAAACAUACUAAUCAUAUACUGUGUUCAUCAAUCGAUCGAAAUACGUAGAAAUAAGCUUCAAUCGAUAAUACUUGGAAGGUUAGCUUGGGAUUUUUCUCUCAGGGCGUUCAUUGAAGAUUUGUGGUGAAGUUGUCGCCAGCUCUUGGUUCCAAUUUGCUGCCCGGAAAAAGGUAUCGUCAUCUUCUUCUCCUUCAUAAUGUUCUCUCCAUCUUUUCUUCUAUUCUGAGAUUCUUUUUUAAUGUUUGAAAAGCUUUUAUUUCUUGUUUGUUGGCUAUUAAUUGUUGUGUAGUUUAUAAUAUGGCGCGUUUGUUCUUAGUCGUCUUAUCAUGUUAGUUUCAAUAUCGAGUUAAAAACUUUCGUGAAUCUGUGCUCAAUGGUGUGGACUCUCUGUUUCGAAUCUCUUCUCCUGUUUUGCUGGCUUUAAGCCUCAAAGUUUUGUUCAUUUUUGCUAUCGUUAAUACUGGUUUUUUUUCUUAAGAAAUGAGGUGAAAGCUUGAAGACUGAAUGAUGUGGAGGUUAUAUGUUGUGUUAUUGAUUGUUUGUUUGAUACAACUGCUUGUCUACCUCCCCAUUUUCAGAUCCCACGACGUUGUUGCCAUACAUUUUUCUCUAAGUAUGUGAUAUUUUUUCCUUCUUAGCAUGUCUAUGCUUGUUUUAUAUCUGCUAAUUAGUUUCUUUUCCAGUUUUCGUGAUUGACCUGUUCUCGUGUGUAUUUACAAAGCAUGAGUUGUGUUCUUUUACAAUGGCUUCCGUUGACUAAAUCAUUCCACAAGAUUAUAGUCUUAAAGUUUGAGGUUUUAAUGUAUGUUUGUUUAUCCUUAAAGACAUGCCUUAGUGUAUGAAAAAUGGAAAAUGUUUUGUUGCUUGCACCCUAUCCCUUCUCUUCAUGUGAAGUUGGAAAAAUAUGUUGAACUCCCUCUCUGAUUCAUGCCUAAAGUUUCAUAAAAAAAAGUAGCAUAUUUUAACAAUUUUAUCCACUGUUUUGCUCUUGUUCAACAAGCAUAACUUUGUGCUAUACAUAUUCCUCUCUUUUUACUCUGUUUGUCAUGUCUCAUAUUGCAUUUUAAUGGCAUCAAUUAUAAUGGUCUGUUUCUUUUCUUAAUUAGCAUUGGCUUCUUUGUUAUUAUAUUUGUCUAAGCAAAGAUGCCCUAGUCUUAUUUAGUUGGAUUACUGUCAACUUAAUAAUCCAACUAUUGCAUCCAUAUCAUAUUUAUUUUAUCAAAAUGAAUUGUUUCAAUUGUGCACGAGUUGUUUAUUUGGUAAAUGUGCAGCAUGCUCCCUUUACAUUUUUUUUGAGUCUAAUUGUUGAUGAAUGGUUAUGUACUUCCAUAAACAUAAUGUGCUCAUAGUUGAAUAUACAUGAAAUAUAUGUUACUAUCUCUAAGUGUCACAUUUGGAUAUCAACUUUGUAAGCUUUAGUUUGAUUCAUUUGCUUUUUCUUUAGAGUCACAUGUGUCGUUUCAAUUUGAACCCCUUGAAGUAGCUUUCUUUUAGUAAAAUCUGUUUUCGUUCAGGAUAUGUAUCUUGUUUAUUAUAUCAUUUCAUAUGCUAACCCAUUUCUAUUUUAUUGCAAGUAAAAAAUUCCUUUCGGGUCCUUACGGACCUCACUUCAUCUAUUCGCAUCCUCUCGUUGAGCCGUAAAGGCUCACACUACCAUAUACGAGGCGUCCAGCCCCCUCUAAACUGGUGUACAGGUCGAAAAGCAGCAAAUAUGUUGCUGGAAAAUAAUUUGCAGGUCUCCAAAAGCCUAAGAAAGGGCUAAUAUACUGUUGUAUACACUGAUAUACAGUUGAAAUAUGUGAUGUACAGUUCCAAAAAUUAUACAGGUGCUGGAAAUUUGAUCUGGGGCAGCAUAAAUUCGGUAUACAGCCCAAGAUACAGGAAAUGGGGCUAAUAUAUGAAUUUUAUACACUGAUAUACAACGUUUGUAUACAAACAGAAUUGAUUUUGAAGUCCAAAAUCAGCAGCUUUGGCCCAAUGUUUCUGCGCAGCAAUAGGCCCAGAAGGCCCAAACCUUCCUCUCUCACUCUUUUUUUAUUUGAAUUUAUUAAUUUGUCUAUCACUUUAUUUACUAAUUAAUUUUAAGGAUAACUUAAUUAAAUUCCCAAAAAGAUGAACCAUAUUCUUUAUGUUAGUGUAUAAAUUCUUUUUUUUUUCAAUUCUUGUUCAAAUAUCUUGGUCCAACCCUCGCUUCUUCUUUUCUAAUUAGUUUAAAAUGAUUCCUUGGGUUUUCGACUAAAUUAGUUCCAAAUUAUAAUGAAUUAAAUAAAUCCAAAUUAAUCUAGUUUGUUAAAAUUCUUAUCUCUUGUAUUUCAAGUCAAAUGUUUCAUUUUUUUUUGAUCUCUUUCUCUAAAAAUAUAUAAAAUGAAACUAAUAUGUCAUUUAUUUAAUUAUUUUUCUCAAAAUUAACCAAAUAUUAUAAAUUAUUAUU
rnacentral:lncRNA from 1 species